CCUAUUUAAACUUUAUUCUACUGAGACAACUGUUUUAUUCUUUCUCACUGGCUGUCUUCAGAAACAGUGAGUAGAUGGAUCCAAUUAGGAAUGAGCAGAGUGUGAUGGAGAUAAAAGAAGAAAAGGGUGAAAAAGAGAAGAGUCACUGUCCUUUGUUGGUGAUCCUCCCUCCAGACAUAAGGAGGAGGAUGGAUGUUUGGAGCAGCUUGUUUUCAGGGGAGUGGAAGGACGCCUCCCGAAUGCAAUUCAGGAGCUUUCUGGAUUUUGCCAUUCCAUGCUGACUACACCCAGUGAGAAAGCAAACACCCAUACUCCACUAAAACAGGAAGUCCAUACUGAGGAGAAAUAAAUGGAGAAAUGUGUU